ACGUGAUGGUAUGCUGUAUGGGAAAUACUGAAUCACGGCCUGAAGCUCUGAUUGAUCACCUGAGGCAAGCAAUGAGUCAGCUGCGGGUACACAGGUGAAGGCAAUUCACCUGUGUGAUCUGAAGGGGCGGAGCCUUGCUCUACCUCUACUAAACCCCACUUAAGGGCUGACUGCUACUGAGGAAGGAACUCUCUUUGGAGAUUGCUCUUCUUGGAGUCUUUCUUUGUGAGCCCAGGGUACAGAUCCUCUUUGAGUUCCAUGUGGCAAGAAAAAGGUUAGUAAAGUGACAAGCUGGAGAAAAAAAUUGAAGUGAGCUGUUUUUCAUGGUUAAAUCAACAGCCAUAUACAAAUCAACGUCCUACUUUGCAAAAAUGUUUGCAAUGAUGAGCAAGAUCCCUGGGAUUAAAAGAUCUUAGGACAGUAAGAGGAUGAAGAUGCUAAAGAUGCUCUACUAGUAGUUGGACUCAUCCGUUUCUGUUCUAAACUCAGCUCCAUGUGCUCUCAGGUCAAUCAUGUCACUCUGGUGGAGUAAAGGUCUAAAGGAAUGACAAAGGAAUGCAGCAGCAGGAAACCAGAGUUUCAUGAGCCAGGCAAGUAAAAGCAGUGCUGGGGCUCAGUACUCAUCUUCCAACGUUUUGCAAGACAUCCACUUGCUUACCUACAGGACUGGAGGAGAAGAUAGAAAGAUCCAGUGCUGAGGUAAUUGCUUUGCCGGGACUUUACAGUCUUCCGACCACACUUCAAUUCUAAAAUGCAAAAAUCAUGUAGAAAAGAACCUUUACAGAUGAUUAAGUGACCUGAAGUCUCAUGGAUGCAUUCAGAUGUUAUGGGAGUCAUUAACAUGUUAGAAUGAUAAAGAAAAUGUCGUGAAUUUCUCCUGGAGAUACAGGAUUCUAAAAUGAUGGUAGUAUGUUCCUAUUAUAUUGUUUACUUUAUAUUUUUAUUGUGUGAAAAUGCACAUCCCUAGAAUUUUACACGCAAAUUGGUGCCUCAUGAUUCUUCCUUCCAUGUGAAAGAAAUCAAUAACCGAGCCCUAUUUUCAGUAAGUUGAGCUCCAUAGGUAUACAUCUGUCCUUAUGUGUGCAAAUCCCAAAGCUAUCCUUGUAGCCAAAUGUUUUGAUGUCUGUUAUUUGAACAAAAAAUGUUGCGGACAGGGAUAAAAACACAAGUGUGUUUUGUGCCAAAUUAUAGGUCUCAGUUUCCUGGAGAACUUGAGCAUAUGAAUUCAAAUUUAUAUGAACAAUAUAUCUAUUGAUAUGUUAUCUCUCUUUGGGCAUAUUCAAGUGAGAGACACUGGCUCUGCAGUUGAGAAGCUCCUUAUCAUUUAAAUGAUCAGGCACCCGGACAUAAUUUUCUGUCCUGAAACACUGCGGUGUCAUUGCACUCCUUCCUUGAACCACAAAAGACGUGUUGGAUUGCUUCAGGCAGCAUAUUUUGCAGGGACUCUUCAGCAUGCUCUUCUUCUUGCAGACCUGUUAUACAUUAUCAGUCUAGUCACAAAGAGGCAAUAGGAAAAGAGUAAGCUUUGCAAACAGACGUGUCUGACACACAGCUCUCCCUCCGUUAUGUGGACAAUUUUAUUUACCAGUUUACAUUUUGCAUAAAGUUCUUCCUCAGCAUAAAAUCUCUUGCUGCAGCCCUGCAGAGCAAGGGAAAUGUGGACACAUUCUCUUUAAAGUUAGGAAGUUCUUUCAUAGAAUCACAGAAUCAUUUGGGUUGGAAGGGACCCUCAAAGGCCAUCUAGUCCAACUGCCCAGAAGCAGGACACCUACAGUUAGGGCACGAGCUUCCCAGAGCUUCUCUUCUUGCCUGUCAGGGCAGGCAGGUACCUCUAUAUAAUAUGUCAGCUGGUAUGGAUUGUGGCAAAAGUUACCUCAGCUCUCUGGCUAAAGAAUAAGCAAAAAGCUGUCCGUUUUCCUGGCAAAAUUCAAGCUGUGCAAACAGACCUUUU